UGAUGGCUUGGAGUUGAGUAAUAAGACAAUAAUGAAAAUAAUGACGUCCUGUGGCUCGCUCGCAUCGUUUUUUUCUAAUCCCUAUGAUGCAGUCAAAUAGAGUUGGUCACAGUACUUGAGGAUCUACAAAGGAGGGUGGCAUAAAUAGAGUUAAGCUUUUUUAAGUGCCAGGCAAUUUCAAAUGCAACUUUCCAAGAUGGAGAAAGAUGUAAGAAAGGGGGAGCAGAAGAGGAAGAAGAUGAGAGCUAGGUACAGUACUUCCAGCUGCUGACAAUAAUCUUUUUUAUACAACUGAUACUUGUUUUGGGUUGCUGAGAUAUUGUUGAAGCACCGUCUGCUUUGAUAGCAGCCUUCAGCUCUUUUUAUUUUUGGUUCAGGUGUUUUUCAUCAAUCCAGAAGAUUCUCCGUGGCUCUCGGGAGAUGACUGGCCAAUCAAGCAGUGUGAGAAGAUGGUCAGCGAACGAUUUGGUAUUAGUUUUGGCACUCAGAGUAGAGUGUGUCAACAGAUGGAAGCAUGAAGUGCUCUGAAGUCUCCAUGCAGAUGGCAGUGUUGACUUUGGACUUGACAAAGCAGAGCAGACCAACCACCACCAACAGCAACAGAUGAAACCUUAAAUCAUCACAGAUACCAAAACGUCACACUGGACUUCAGAAACCUUGGAUUGAGCCUCUUCCUACAGAAUCCAGGACUUUGAUUUCCAAAUGAAACGAAGAAUUUACUUUAAUCUGAAAAGAGUAUUUUAAACCACUGACUGAUGCUCCACUUCUUUUUCUUUCUGUAGCCCAGCAGGUGGAGCAAUGGCAAGAGAGGGAUAAGUGGUCCGAGUGAGGCAGUGUGGGCUACAGGAAGAGGGGAUCAGUCGAGUACUGUGACAGGAGGACAGACAGUAUGACAUCAGUAACUCAGGAGCUGCUGAUGACCUGCUUUAUCCAGUUGGUGAGCCUGGUGAUGCGAGUGUAGACACCAUAGUAGUCUGGACGCCCACAGCCUCUACCCCAGCUCACCACCCCGGCCAGGAACCAGCGACCUGAAGGCUCCUGACACACCAAGGGACCGCCCGAGUCUCCCUAACAGACAAAGGUAACGUUAACGAGGCACAAAUAAGACUGGGUCUUCACAGCACAGAGGCACCAUAAUAAUUGACAGUACUUAUAAUUACUACAGUGACUCACUAUAUCAUCAUCAUCAGGGGUUCUUAGAUAUGUGGCUUUUAAAACUCAUUUUAUAACAUCGAUGUGUUUUAAAAAAAACUGGGCUAAAAAGAGGAAAUAACGUUAUAGAUUUUUUUAAUAUUUAAAAUUUUAAUCGGUUUCUCCUUUUUUGUGGCUUUGAGGACAUCUUGACAGAGAGCAAGACUACACGAUUCUAAGUGAUACAUAGAAUUUUACUUUCAUUGCAUCAUAUCAACUUUAAAACACUGCAGGAACUUAUUGAAUUUAGAUUUUUUGUAAUAUUAGUUAUAUUAAAGAGAGAAUCCAUACAAAAUCAGUUUAAUUUAAAUCUCUGCUUUGAUUUUACCUACAGUUUCUUGGCAGUUCUACAUACACACUUGUGCGGUAUCUCCACCCAGCAAACCAAAGCCUGGUCCUCUUUUGACUUGUUUUGUUCACUCUUCUUUUUUCAAAUGCAGGUAAAGAUAUUUUAGACGGGAAUGGUGAGACUGACAAAACAGUAAAACUGCAGGCUGUAAAGGAAACAAUGUGUAGAGCUGAGGGGAUGAAGUGCUAAGUGUUGUGUUGGACAUUCUGAGUUUCACUUGCUUUUUAAUUUUUAGUCAUUUGAUCCAUUUUUGCUGCCAAAGUUCAAAGCACAUGCAGCUUGUAUUUCUUUGUACCUGACAGGCAUCUUUCCUUCCAUUGCGGUAACCGGCACAAAGCAUUCUGGGAGUAACCAGGUGUCCAUAGGAACGGAUGCAGGAUUCCUCGCUAACCAGGCGCACAUCAACUUUCUGAAGCACAUUACUGGCUGUGCCUGGGAAAAGUAAGAGGACAGAGUGACAGAGGGCAAAAGAAUAUCCUCUCAGUCGUAAUGCUGUUGAGUCUUUGUGCACUGCUUAAGGCCCCAGUAACACUAGCUUAGAGACCCAUUAGCAAUUGUCUGGAAAUGGCCAGUGAUGAGGGAAAAACAAGUUUUCCCUGACUGCGAGUGCUUUUGGGAGGUUGUUGCAAAAAGGUAUACAUUUCUGCACUGACAACCUUCUUUUGAUUGUUUUGGUUGUCAUCACUCAUAGUACGCCUGGAAAAUGCUAACUAGUGUUCAGAGUCAAAUCUGUGUCUUCUGAAACAUGUUGGUUUCAACUGUAAGACACAACGUUUACCGUGAAGCCAAACAUUCUCCGUUUUCACUUCCCAUCGCACUUUUCAACUUUCACUGUUGACUUGUCUGCAGACAAAUCAGCAUACUUUCAUGCAAACUGCAGCAAUCUGCUAGCGAGCAAAGCAAUCACAGAGAAGAUUUUGGUGCAGCACCAUUUGCAAUAGAUAUCACCCAACAGCACUAAUAACACUCUGCAACCUCCAGUGUCCAAUAAACAUUCCUAAUGUGCCCUUUCUGGACUGGUAUGAGGGAACCUAUUGUGUGCUUGCCCAUAGAAAGCUCAUACAGGGGUCCUAAAGGGGCAAAGGUGCUGUGGAUCCUGUGUGUGCACAGGUAUUUCUACUCUGAGCAUUUUAACCACUUUCCUAGAAGGCUCAAAGAAAAGACAAUUUAAUUCAAACACUUUUUCCUAGAACUAAGUGCUUUGUCUAACAUUCCCCGACACACUGUAGACUGAAGUAUCCAGAGAAAUUGAUCCACCAACCUUCCAGCUGCUAUAUUACCCAUGCUAUCUAAUGAGGCACAGCCACCCGACUUUGGGCCUACAUGUCUGUAUGUCUGCCAGCAUAUUACUUAUAUUAAUGAAACACUAUACAGGGUAAUGAAACCACGGAACAUGUUUUAGUACACUGCAAGAAAUAACAGGAGACUGAGAAGCUGAGAGAAGGUGAUUGAUGCAGAACCUCAGAAACGCUGUUCCACACUGCAUACAGCUGGUGGCUGUAAUGUACCACAGGGCACAGUUAGGCAGCCCUCUGUGAUCCCUGCUACUGGUGUGAAAUGUGGGGUACAUCUGGGCAGACCACACUUAGCGUGCUUUGUGUGGGCAGCUGCUGUUCCCCAUAGUGUAGAACCCAGAUGCACCCAUGUUUGCUGGAAAGCCUGGUUGACGUGUCUUCACUUACUAAUAAUGAACAACAAAGGUCUUCCCUUACGGUAACAAGAAAACACUUUAUUCCGAUUAUGAUCAUGCAAAUGCAUUUUAAUGUAUUCAAAUUUACCUUCGAUUUUUCUCAAAAGUUGUAUUGAUUCUUAUGAAGCGUUGCAUGCCAGUAUAUGUUCUCCCACACCUUUUCUCUCUCUCAGCCUUCAGUUUAUUAAGUUCAUCGUGAUAGCAGAAACCACUUCCACCCACACCACUCCAUCUCCUCCUGCCUUUUUGAUUUAAAUUAGGUUUUUUUUUUCCAUGUGUGUUUGCUCAGAUAUCAAAAUAGCACACCCACUUGCCUCCACAUCACCAUCUGCACAAAAACUCCCCAUAUCUCGCACGCACUGACAAAAGGAUGUUUUUAAAAACCACACAGUCGUUUGGUUGUGAAAAUGAUGCAUCACACUGAAUAAUACAUAAGUCGGUAAUCAUUCUGCAACAGGAGUCAAACUUGCUUAAAAGAAAAACUAAAAAGUGAGUGAGUGCUCUUCUUUCAGAGUAAACCUUCCAUUUUUAAAGCAGUAAAUGUAACAUCACUCUAGGACUAGUAGUGUUUAUGAAACUGCUCAGUGGGAUUUAAGUGUCUUUUAAGGUCUGUUGUUGUGUCUGUGCAUAAAGCAGCCUGUAGCUCAAUGUGAUUUAUGAUCAUGGAGAGGCAGGUAGGAUAGAGGUCCCCAACCUGAAAACAGCAAUCCAUUUAAAAUGUCAGAAGAUGAAUUUUAAACCUCCAAGAUGUUUGAUCAUAGAGGAAACCGAUUAAACUUUGCUCUAAUAAAUAUGGAUGGCCACUUGAGGCUGCCUCUGAAAGCAAGUCAGUUGCCACGGUCUCCUAUAUCAAAAUAUCAAACUGCCCAACUUUAGAGCAGAAAUAAACAUGGGAAAAAACCUGGUCUCUGUGGCUAAUACUCAUUUUUUAAAGGUUUAAAGUUUGGGUUUAUUACUGGCACAGCUGCUCUGAACAGCAGAUGGCUAGGUCACAGACUGUUAAACCUUCUGUCAGCUCAUUCAAGUUACUGAAAUGGACCUGUGUCUUUGCAGUUUUAUUUCAAUAUUUUAAUGUCAUUCCCAGAGAAAAAGUAGUCCAGAUGGCACGGUACACAAGGACAGGUCUCUAGUCCAUCAUAACGCCAAAACAGAGAGACAACCACACACUCUAAAAUCUAACCUACAACAAAUUCAAAAUCACCAGUUAACCUAAUACUCAUGUUUCUGGACUUUGGGAGGAAACUGGAGUUUCUGAAAGAAGCCCGUGCAGGCAAUGAGUGAACAUAAAAAGCCCCAGCUCACCAGGGGAGUCUCACCAAGACCUGUCAGAGGUGCUUGCUUAUAGAGGUUUGUCUGAUUGUUGGGGUUUUUCUAUACUAUUGUAGAGUCUUUACUUUACAAUAUAAAGCAAAUUGAGGUGAAAAAGUGUAGCAGAUAUGGAGGAAUUUUGAGAGGUCAAACCAAAAACUUGGAAAUCACAGCCAUAGCAGGUUUACUGGUUAUUAAAAGAUCUGUAAUUUCCUAUUCCAUAUUCUAGCUUCUUUGCACAUCCUUCAAGCCCUCCCCUUCCCUGUUUUCAAAGCUCACCCCCCUCACGGAGUGCCCCCCAGCCAGUGACCCAGCAAAGCAGGCCUGGCUCCAGCUGGUGCGUUGGUGGGGGCAAGCAGGUGGGUCGAGCAUGCCCAGCCAGCAGCGCAGCGGCGGGCCGGUCCAGCUUGAGCAGGGCCAGGUCGUAGUCGUGGGACUCAUCGUCAUAGUAAUGAUGUAGAUGGAUGCGUUGGACCCGCGCCACCUCCUCUGUAGGGCUGCUGCGGUUGAUCAGAAGUUUGCCAAGGUAGACUGUCCACACUGAGGGGGAGUAGAGACUGCAGCAGGAACACAAAGAGGUCAAAUGUGUUGUAGGGCCAAUAAGAAAGCGUUUUUUCCCUGAGCUAUUUAAAAAGAAAACACCCACACAGUUAGCAGUAUUAACUCAUGCCAAGAAAUAUCUGUUUAUACUUUUUCAGCUUUUUUAUCUUCCUCAUCCACAGACUCUGAAGGCUGCUUAAGCUUUUAAUCACCAUGCAAGAAAAUUAAGCAGAGAAAAAUAGGUAAUGCUCUAGAGGAUGCUGCAGCUAUAGUUUUGGGGAUGGUCCAGAUUGUGGGGUUGAAAAACACAAGUGUAUACAAAUCCAUAAAUACUCUGCCUCUGACUCAGACAGGCUGUCACAGUUAAACCCCGGUCAGCAAAGAUGCAACCGAAGGACAGAAGGAGGAAGCAGCAGCAGAAAUAAACUUGAUUUAUAAAACCACGACUAAAAUGCUCCAUCAAAGUCACGGCAGAGGAUGAUAAUAUUUUAAUCUUUACACAACAGAGAGCCUUUGGUUGUGUUCUUAUUAACAUCACUUUCUAACAUUUAAGUCAUCACACCACUUCCUUCCUUUUUGUUUCCUGCCCUUACCGGUCGUCAUAGAAACAGUGGGCAGCCGACACCACCCACUGACUGGCGAUUAAAGUGCCACCACAGAUGUGGUUACCCCGCACCUGCAGGCUGGCCUGCCAUGGCCACUCCCCCUCUGAGGCGUCCGUUCCCCCAACAAUGCGGCUGGAGAACUGCCUCAGGCCGCACUCUGGAUACACACACGCAGCCAUCCAAACCUACCUGACCCUAUGUGAAAAAGGGUUGGUGUUCCUAUAAACCAAGCGGUCGUUCAGCCUGAGUGGUUCAGUGGUUCACCUUCAGGGUCUUCGUGCAGAAUCUGUGGUUCCUUCAGUUACAGCAAGUCAUCGAGCAAAGCAGCCCAGACCAUCACUCUACCACCAACCGCCAUGUUUGACUGUUAGUAUGAUGAUGUUUUCAUGAAAUGCAGUGCUAGUUUUACACCAGAUGUAAACCUUGGCAAAUGUCAGACGAGUCUUUGUGUUCUUUUUUUCUCCUUGAUCUCUCCCAUGGAGGCCAUUUUUGCCCAGUUUCUUUCUCAUUGUUGUUGAACUCUGACCUUAACUAAGGCAAAUGAGUCCUGCAGUUCUUUAGAUGUUGUUCUAGGUUCUCUUGUGGCCUCCUGGAUGAGUCUUCAAUGCACUUUUGGAGUAAAUUUGGUAGGCCAGCCACUCCUCGAAAGGUUCACUGUUCCAAGGUUUCUCCUUUUGUGGAUAUGACUCUCACUGUAGUUUACUGUGAGUCCCAAAGCCUUAGAAAUGGCGUUCUAGCCCUUUCCAGACAGAUAGAUGUCACUGACUUUUUAUCUCACCUUUUUUAGAUGUCUUACUUCAUCACACAGGGCCAGGAAGGUUUAGAUAGCUUUUUCCCUUAUCCCUGGUUAUCUUUGUCUAAUAUUAAAAUUCUCUUGAUGAUGUCUGCAGAACGUCAAGUCGUGGUUGGCGCUAAACUUUCUUUGUUUUAACGAUUCUAAAACUGAAGUAAUGGUGUUUAGACCUGCUUCCACUGCUGUUCCGUGUGUUGAUCUGCAAUCCCUGAAAUCAUUCUGUAAACC